UAACGCGUGGGUAACCUGCCUCAUACAGGGGGAUAACAGCCGGAAACGGCUGCUAAAACCGCAUAAGCGCACAAGGGCCGCAUGGCCUGGUGUGAAAAACUCCGGUGGUAUGGGAUGGGCCCGCGUCUGAUUAGCUAGUUGGCGGGGGAGAGGCCCACCAAGGCGACGAUCAGUAGCCGACCUGAGAGGGUGGCCGGCCACAUUGGGACUGAGACACGGCCCAAACUCCUACGGGAGGCAGCAGUGGGGAAUAUUGCACAAUGGGGGAAACCCUGAUGCAGCGACGCCGCGUGAGCGAAGAAGUAUUUCGGUAUGUAAAGCUCUAUCAGCAGGGAAGAAAAAUGACGGUACCUGAGUAAGAAGCACCGGCUAAAUACGUGCCAGCAGCCGCGGUAAUACGUAUGGUGCAAGCGUUAUCCGGAUUUACUGGGUGUAAAGGGAGCGCAGGCGGUGUGGCAAGUCUGAAGUGAAAGCCCAGGGCUUAACCCUGGGACUGCUUUGGAAACUGUUAGACUAGAGUGCUGGAGAGGUAAGUGGAAUUCCUAGUGUAGCGGUGAAAUGCGUAGAUAUUAGGAGGAACACCAGUGGCGAAGGCGGCUUACUGGACAGUAACUGACGUUGAAGCUCGAAAGCGUGGGGAGCAAACAGGAUUAGAUACCCUGGUAGUCCACGCUGUAAACGAUGGAUACUAGGUGU
rnacentral:rRNA from 1 species